ACGGAAGGCAGCAGUGGGGAAUAUUGCACAAUGGGGGAAACCCUGAUGCAGCGACGCCGCGUGAGUGAAGAAGUAUUUCGGUAUGUAAAGCUCUAUCAGCAGGAAAGAAAAUGACGGUACCUGACUAAGAAGCCCCGGCUAACUACGUGCCAGCAGCCGCGGUAAUACGUAGGGGGCAAGCGUUAUCCGGAUUUACUGGGUGUAAAGGGAGCGUAGACGGCUUUGCAAGUCUGAAGUGAAAGCCCGGGGCUCAACCCCGGAACUGCUUUGGAAACUGUAGAGCUGGAGUGCUGGAGAGGUAAGUGGAAUUCCUAGUGUAGCGGUGAAAUGCGUAGAUAUUAGGAGGAACACCAGUGGCGAAGGCGGCUUACUGGACUGUAACUGACGUUGAGGCUCGAAGGCGUGGGGAGCAAACAGGAUUAGAUACCCUGGUA
rnacentral:rRNA from 1 species